rnacentral:rRNA from 1 species
GUCUAUGGCCAUACCAUCCUGAACACACCCGAUCUCGUCUGAUCUCAGAAGCUAAGCAGGGUUGGGCCUGGUUAGUACUUAGAUGGGAGAAAACAUGCACCAUGGGAC